UACGGAGGGUGCAAACGUUGCUCGGAAUCAUUGGGCGUAAAGCGCACGUAGGCGGCCGACUAAGUCGGGUGUGAAAUCUCGGGGCUUAACUCCGAAACUGCAUUCGAUACUGCCGUGCUUGAGGACUGGAGAGGAGACUGGAAUUUACGGUGUAGCGGUGAAAUGCGUAGAUAUCGUAAGGAAGACCAGUGGCGAAGGCGGGUCUCUGGACAGUUCCUGACGCUGAGGCACGAAGGUCAGGGGAGCAAACGGG
rnacentral:rRNA from 1 species